GUAGAGAGUGCCUUAGUUAUAUAAAAAUAAAAAGAAAUGUGGUAUGAUUGCCAAUGAGACAACUCUCCACUAGAGACCAAAUGACACAAAAAUUAACAACUUUAAGUCACAGUACGGCAUUCAACAAAUGCAAAAACCCAUAUCGCAUAGUCAGCUAUAAACUGCCCCGAAAUGACAAUGUAAAACAAUUGAAACGAGAAAAAUAACGGCC
rnacentral:lncRNA from 1 species